GACGAACGCUGGCGGCGCGCCUAACACAUGCAAGUCGAACGAGCGAGAGAGAGCUUGCUUUCUCGAGCGAGUGGCGAACGGGUGAGUAACGCGUGAGGAACCUGCCUCAAAGAGGGGGACAACAGUUGGAAACGACUGCUAAUACCGCAUAAGCCCACAGGUCGGCAUCGACCAGAGGGAAAAGGAGCAAUCCGCUUUGAGAUGGCCUCGCGUCCGAUUAGCUAGUUGGUGAGGUAACGGCCCACCAAGGCGACGAUCGGUAGCCGGAUUGAGAGGUUGAACGGCCACAUUGGGACUGAGACACGGCCCAGACUCCUACGGGAGGCAGCAGUGGGGAAUAUUGCACAAUGGGGGAAACCCUGAUGCAGCGACGCCGCGUGGAGGAAGAAGGUCUUCGGAUUGUAAACUCCUGUUGUUGAGGAAGAUAAUGACGGUACUCAACAAGGAAGUGACGGCUAACUACGUGCCAGCAGCCGCGGUAAAACGUAGGUCACAAGCGUUGUCCGGAAUUACUGGGUGUAAAGGGAGCGCAGGCGGGAAGACAAGUUGGAAGUGAAAUCUAUGGGCUCAACCCAUAAACUGCUUUCAAAACUGUUUUUCUUGAGUAGUGCAGAGGUAGGCGGAAUUCCCGGUGUAGCGGUGGAAUGCGUAGAUAUCGGGAGGAACACCAGUGGCGAAGGCGGCCUACUGGGCACCAACUGACGCUGAGGCUCGAAAGUGUGGGUAGCAAACAGG
rnacentral:rRNA from 1 species